rnacentral:lncRNA from 1 species
AGGUGCAAACCCAAGCUGCAGAGGAAGAGGAACAGGGGAGAUGCAGGGCAGGUCAAGGCAAGUGGGGAAGAGCGACCUCAGUGAACUGAGCAGAAAGGUCCCCUAGAACAGAAAUUCAACAAAGGUAUUCUGAAUUCAGGUGGAGGUAUCAGUUGGCCAAGGCUCAGGAAGGUCAAUUCAUAAAAUAGGACCAAGACAAACACAACAGGGACAGAAUUUUGAUUAUCCCCGGCGAAAAUGCCAGAUGAUUUGACCUAAGACUCCAUGUGGAAAUUUUUCCUAAGGAAAUAAUUCAACAAACACACAAAAAUCUUUGUAUUAGUCUGUUCUCACACUGCUAAUAAAGACAUACCCAAGACUGGGUAAUUUAUAAAGGAAAGAGGUUUAAUUGACUCACAGUUCCACGUGGCUGGGGAGGCCUCGCAAUCAGGGCGGAAGGCAAAAGAGAAGCAAAGUCACAUCUUAGAUGGCGCCAGGCAAGAGAGAGUUUAUGCAGGAGACCCCGCUUUAUAAAAUCAUCAGAUCUCAUGAGACUUAUUCACUAUCAAUGGAACGGCAUGGAAAACACUUGCUCCCAUGAUUCAAUUAUCUCCACCUGGCCCCACCCUUGACAGGUAGUGACCAUUACAAUUCAAGGUGAGAUUUGGGUGGGAACACAGCCAAACCACGUCAAUCUUCAUUGCAGUUAUCCAGCCACACCAACAAAUUUAUCUGACCACAUGGAAAGUGAUGAGUUAAAAAUCACAGGCCACCUAACGGGGUAUCAUGUAGCCAUUAAUUAUUAUAACCAGAAAGACUAUUCAACAUUUUUCCAAUGCUCUAAAUCAAGGGUUAGCAAACUAUUUAAGUAAUGAGCCAGAUAGUAAAUAUUUUGGGCCUUG